rnacentral:tRNA from 1 species
GCAUGUAGCUAAGUGGCAGAGCAAUUGCCUAUCAUGCUAUGAGGCUCUGGGUUCAAUCCCUAGCACUGCA